GGAAGUAAACAUCUGCUGUUUAUAACGAAACGCGUCAGCUUCCUCACUCAGUCCGAUGAAGAUGAGGCGUCUGCAGGUCGUCGUCUUCCUCCUCGCUCUCAGCGGUUUCCGGGCCGCCACCCUGCCGACCGUCCUGGUGGGAGUCGGGGAGGACGCCACGCUGCACUGCCCCCUGCUGGACGCCUCCAACGGUACCAGCAACUCGGCGGACCCAGCCACCCUCAGCUGGUACCGGAAGGCCGCGGGCGGCGGGCCGACGCUGCUGCUGAGCCUCAGCCCUGCUAACGGCUCCGUCGUCAGGUACGGCGACGGCGUCGGCCCGCAGAAAGUAUCCGCCGCCGCUAACGGGUCGCUGGUGCUGCACGGGUCCGAACAGAGCGACUCGGCUGUUUAUUACUGCGGUAUCAGUCACGGCUCCGAGCAGAACAAGAACUCGACGCUGUAGAACCGCAGAGAGAACCGAAGCUGUGGGCUCAUCGGUUCUGAAACGGAUGAUUUGAGUUCAGGAGCAACAAAUAUGGCGGGCAGACAACCUACUGGACCAAUAUGGCGACCUCAACUGAAGAAAAAUAACAUCAGUAAAUAUAAAAUGAGUAGUUUUAGUAACUGAUGUUAAAGUAACAAAGUUUGUAUUUUGGUUUCACUUGUGUUUUUAUAUUUGGAACAAAGCAGGAAUUAUUUCCUUCCACAUAUUGGGGAAGGUUUGUUCUGUUCACAGAAAUGGAUCAAGAAGUUUCUAAAUACAGACAUUUAUGAAAAUCAGUCAGUUCACAUGAAAUUGGACUAAUUUGCAAAAAGUAAAUAUGGUAGGCUAACUGCAACCAGGGACAACGAGGAAUGCUAACAUUAAUCAGACAUGCUAACAUUAUCCAGACAUGCUAACAUUAACCAGAUAUUUACCAGACAUGCUAACAUUAACCAGACAUGCUAACAUUAACCAGAGAUGCUAACAUUAACCGGACAUGCUAAUUCUAACCAGGAACACAAACGCUAAAUAAAACAACGUGGGGAACAAUCAGUCAGAAUAUCUUUCAACACAGGAAUCGUCCACAGAUCAUAAAUGUUUUCUAAAUGCUUUUUAUAGGUGAAGGAUGAUUUUUUUUUCUCACUGCUUGUUUUAUUUAACAAAAUUAUGGGAUGUAUUUGGUGAAGGAAGCUGUAUGUUUGAUCUGUUAAGUUAUUCCUUAAUCCUGAAAUAAAAAUGUCUUCACUGUUUAUGACCCUGAUUCAUAACAUGUUAAUAAAUGUAUUAAACACA